GAGUACGACGACGCCUGGGUGAGAACACCACAUCCCGCCCGAUUUGUGAAGUUAAACACGAAAGUGCUCCGGCGACACUGUGGUCAGUGAUGACUCGGGGGAACCCCGAGUGUUGUACCCC